AACCCGCACGGUAAAAGCCCGCACGAACCCGUCCAUUUAUUAAAUUCGUGUUAAGAAAGCCCGCACGCAAAAAGCCCGCAAAUUAACGGGCCUUGCGUGCUAAGCCCACUGGAACCCAUUGGAACCCGUUUACUUCCAAACAAACCUACUCCGACCCUUUCCGUCAUUCAGCAACGACAAAAAACGCAACGCUCUCUCUCUGGAACGCAACCCUGAAUCUGAGCAGUGAGCACAGCAGCCUCCCAUUCAUUUCCGUCACCCAAAUCCCAACUCUCUCUCUCUCAUCUCUCUCUGCGCGCCCAAUUUCUCAAGAGAUUAGUUCAGCACCAACCGACUCAAUAUCCUACAUCUGAGGAGUUAAGCAUUCAGAAAAUCAAGUUCAAGGCUUUUGUUUUGCAGAGAUUGCUCGCAGAGUUUGGAAAGACUACCAUGCCAAGGUAUUAUUGACGAUUUGACGAUAUAAUGUAAGAUGAUAUACUGAUAAGGCAAAGCUUCUGCAAUUUGAAUUUUGUUGCUGCAUAGCCUGCAUUAAUUGAACACCCAUGCCAGUUGACAAAGAGAUGGAAUUUGAAUAUGGUUGUAGCAUGUUUUUGUUGUUUAUAUGAAGAACUAGAAACUGAAGGAUCCAGAUGAGUUUAUGAGAUUGGUUGAAGUUUUUGUGCUGAGUUGCCUUGCCGUGAUGGAUGAUUUGCAUAGAGUGUGUCACAAAUAGUGUGAUUUUAGGGUCAACACUCUCAACAGUAGGAAAAUUGUACGAAGUCUAGCGAGAUGUAAUGAUGUAUUUUUUUUUUUUUUGUGGUCUGGAAGGUCAAGGGCAGAGAAUGAGUGUCGUACAAAGCUAGCCAUAUAAAACAUGAAUUGAGCAAUGGAAAAAGAAAGAAAUGGCUUUCCACUAGUUA